AUUCUGGGAAUUCUGGAGGAUUUGGGGUUGGUUCCAAGCUGGGCCCGCACGCCAGCCUGGACAGCGUCGUCUUCGCCGUCUGCGCCAACAAGGUGGACGCGGGGAAGCUGCGGGUGGUGGACGAGAGCGAGGGCCGGCUCUGGGCCGAGAGCCGCGGAUUCCUCUACUGGGAGACGUCGGCGCAGAGCGGGGAGGGCAUCCAGGAGAUGUUCCAGGUGGGAAUUCUGGGAAUUCCGGGAAUUCCCUGGGAAUUCUGGGUGGAAAUUCCUGGUGGGAAUUCCAGGAGAUGUUCCAGGUGGGAAACCCCAAAAAAAUCCGGGAAUUCUGGGUGGAAAAUCCUGGAAUUCCAGGUGGAAAUUCCUGGUGGGAACUCCAGGAUUUCCGGGAAUUCUGGGUGGGAAUUCUGGGCAUUUUUGGGAUUCUCCUGGGAAUUCUGGGUGGGAAUUCUGGGUGGGAAUUCCAUGAGAGAUGUUCCAGGUGGGAAUUCCCAAAAAAUCUGGGAAUUCUCAGAAUUUUUGGGUGGAAAUUCUGGGAAUUUUUGGGAUUUUCCUGGGAAUUGUGGGUGGGAAUUCUGGGAAUUUCUGGGUGGGAAUUCUGGGUGGGAAUUCCCUGAGAGAUGGUCCAGGUUGGAAUUCCUUGGGAUAUGUUCCAGGUGGGAAUUCCCAAAUAUCCGAGUGGGAAUUCUGGGUGGGAAUUCCAAGGAAUUCCAGGUGGGCAUCCAGGAGAUGUUCCAGGUGGGAAUUCUGGGAAAUCCGGGAUUUUCCUGGGAAUUCUGGCUUGGAAUUCUGGGAAUUCUGGGUGGGAAUUCCUGGUGGGAAUUCCAGGAGAUGUUCCAGGUGGGAAACCCCAAAAAAAUCCGGGAAUUCCGGGUGGAAAAUCCGGGAAUUCCGGCUGGUGUUCCAGGUGGGAAUUCCAGGAAUUCUGGGAAUUCUGGGAGGAAAUUCCGGGAAUUAUGGGAUUUUCCUGGGAAUUGCGGGUGGGAUUUGGGGUGAGAAUGAUCCAGGAGAUGUUCCAGGUGGGAAUUCCCAAAAAAAUCCGGGAAUUCUGAGAAUUUUUGGGUGGGAAUUCUGGGAAUUUUUGGGAUUCUCCUGGGAAUUCUGGGUGGGAAUUCCCAAAAAAUCUGGGAAUUCUGGGAAUUUUUAGGGUGGGAAAU
rnacentral:lncRNA from 1 species